CCACGUACCUGUGCCUACCACAGACAUUAUCUAAACAAUAAAAAGUUCGAGCCUCUUAAUUCAAAAUUAUUAUCAAAAGGGGACCACAUUCUGAAUACAAGAGUAAUUUAAGGGUGUUUGUGUCAUAGACAUCCUUUCUCCUCCUAUUGAAAUCCAGAUUUUCUCUCUCUACAGAGCUGUGAACUCCGUCUGCAGGCGAUAAGCUUACUAUAGGCGGUACCCAUCUUGGAACGAAAUAAAUGAUACAGGAAGAUAGAUGGUCCUUGAUAACAAAUGGGAUUUCGGUCCUCGUUUCAACAGAAGUGCUUGAUCUCAUGAUUUCAUUAUCAUUACAUGAAGACAGAGAAUUAAGUUGCAGCUGCAGUGGAGUACCAGAUGUACACGAUGCUCAUUAAUCUGUCAGGAGCUCAGUCUUUUUCAAAGAGCCAAGAUCAGACCCAGUCCCUGGUCACAAAACAGGAGGAAGUGAUGCCCAGUCAAAGCCCGACUGCUUGUCAGGAUUACAAGUCUGUGGAUCUUGCAGGAUGAAGAGCCAGUACGGUCACGCCUUCACCUGAGACCCACUAGAUCAGGGGAGAGAUGGGCGCCAGGGCAGAAGCCAGAAGACAGUGGAUGUGUAUACUCGAAGCACACUUAUCUUGGCAACCUCUGGGGAUGUCUGUAAAUCCAGGCGUUACUGGACAGCUUUCUCUCUCCUUGAGCAAAAUGCCAGGAAAAGCCCCAACAGUUACCAUAUCAGCGUCCAUGAAAGGCAAGUAAACAUCUGGGAUCAGUUUUGGGGGGGCUCUGGAGUCUGGGUGAGAAAAGGAGCCGCAAUGACAGGAAGUCGUCUUUGGUGGCUUUUGAACAAAGGCUACAGACUGGGGUGGUGGUGGUGGUCUAAGCAACUAUGAAAAGGAGCAAGCAAACAAACUCCUUGGUCCAGUAGCUGCUGGAUCAGGGCCAGGGUGGUAAAAAUAGCUGCCCUUUGCCCUGUCCUUGGAAGCAUCCGGAGGAAGGUGACGGAUUAAAGGGAGCAAAGGAACAGCUUCAAGGUCAGGGAAUUACCUGGCCCGGUUAUUUCAUAGCCAAAGUCACAUUUGUUCAGAAGAAGAGAUCAGGAUUCAUCUUUCCCAUCUGCAAGGGCAUUUUUGAUGCCAAAUACUGCAGCUAGAAGGCAGAGCAGAAUCCUUGAGGCCUCUGGCUGCCUUGCGCUCCCUUGGAGGAAGAAAGGUGGCUUAUAAAUGAGACGAGACAAAAUAAGUAAAGAAAGAAAGACCUUGCUGUUAGAACAAGCGCGACACGUCUGAGAACUCUGCGCGGCCUCAAAUCAUAAAUCCUGCAGCAGGAAUCAGUGGUGGAAAAGAGAAGAGGCGCCUCUCUUGCCUUAUUGGAUGAUUUUUGAAGUGUCCUUUAUGUGCCUGGUGGCCUUGGCCGGGGGGGGGGGCUGAGAAGAGCGGUGAGGUGCCUGCUGUUGUUCUGUGGUGCUGUCAGGCCUGGCAAAGUAUAGAUUGAUCGGUAUACGUACAGUUCUUCAGGAGAUCACCAUGUCCUGGAUUUUUUUUUUUUGUACUGCUCCUCAAUUCUGUGUUCUUUCACAGAAUAUAUAUAAAUAUUCCAAGCUCUGGGGAAGAGUCUGUCUUAGACCUUUGAGGACCACUACCAGACAAGUCCCCUUCGUCUAUGGAUACUGGACCACUUGAUUUCAGGCAAUGAUUGGACAUCAAUAGCAGCCUCACCUGCAUGGCAUGUAUCCAUUUGUUGGGUGUGGGGCCAGCAAUUUUUCCUCAAACUGACCCAAAGUGAUCAAAUUUGUAAAAUGCAAGAGAUGUGUGGAUUGCUCUUUCUGCAGAGCCUUUUUCAUUCAGUGACUUGGAAUAAAAUCUAAUGAACACGCA
ensembl:lncRNA